AUUGAACGCUGGCGGCAGGCCUAACACAUGCAAGUCGAGCGGAGCGGCGGACGGGUGAGUAAUGCCUAGGAAUCUGCCUGGUAGUGGGGGAUAACGCCCGGAAACGGGCGCUAAUGCCGCAUACUAUCAGAUGAGCCUAGGGCGGAGUCGCUAGUUGGUGGGGUAAAGGCCUACCAAGGCGACGAUCCGUAACUGGUCUGAGAGGCUGAUCAGGCACACUGGAACUGAGACACGGUCCAGACUCCUACGGGAGGCAGCAGUGGGGAAUAUUGGACAAUGGGCGAAAGCCUGAUCCAGCCAUGCCGCGUGUGUGAAGAAGGUCUUCGGAUUGUAAAGCACUGUAAGUUGGGAGGCGUUACCAACAGAAUAAGCACCGGCUAACUUCGUGCCAGCAGCCGCGGUAAUUC
rnacentral:rRNA from 1 species